GCCGCCGCCGCCGCCGCCACCAGAAGAUGAACCAAUAACAUAGCGAGAAGAAUGGAAGAAUUUCUACUUCAGGGUAUGGAGGCUGAGCCUGCAUGCAGAAGAGCCAGAAGAGGCCUUGCUAAAUUUGUAGCUAGAGGCAGUUGAUGCUUUGUACAGGUCAUGUUUUCUUGCAUGUUUAUUGUUGCAUGAACUGUACAACAAUGUUCAUAAUACUGUUGGCUGUGUAGUUCUUCGAAUUUGAGUUUUCGCUAUGUAACAUGUGUAAAAUAUCUUGCCCCUGGUUCCUCGACAACCUUAUCAGGGUUGAGGGGAUGUCGGUUCCAGUGAAAAAUAUUGUGGAAACUGAAUGACAAUGCCAAAAUGUUUUCCUUGGAUAAAUGUUAGCUUA